UCGGACAUGGUGUAGGGUUCACAGCCUCUCGCAUUGGGGAAGAAUUCACACUCAUGUUGGAGGCAGACCGGGGUCCGACUCCCCGUGUCCGAA